GGCCGAUUAGCUCAGUUGGUUAGAGCGCCGUGCUAAUAACGCGGAUGUCAUGGGUUCGAGAGCCCCAUAUUGGCCA
rnacentral:tRNA from 1 species